rnacentral:tRNA from 1 species
AGGUAGUUAGUCCAAUGAAGACCUUUGAUUUCGGCUCAAAAAAUUAUGGUUAAACUCCAUAGCCGCCUU